CUUCUUUCUUUCCAUUAUUGAUUAUUUUAUUAAUUUCCAUGUAUGCUUCAUGCGCUCAUGGCUCAUCCCCACUGCUAUUAAAAGGUAGAGAGCAGCUCUCCCUUAUCCAUGACAAGCACAUACUCACUUUUCCAUCAAAACCGCCAUUACCCAUCUCUCUCUCUCUCUCUCUCUCUCUCUCAAAUUAGAGAACAAAGAAGCCGUUUCCUAUUGAUAUCCUAAAGAUAAGGAAAAGUUUAACAGAUACUCACCAGACAUUGUUAAGGAUUUCUUCUUAGUUUCUUUCCCCAAACCAAUCGGCUUUACAUUCGCAAUCUCUGUUUGCAAAUCUGGAAAAAAUGGUUUCUUUGGUUUCUUGUACGGGAAGACACUUGCAGCUAGAGAGAUGGGCAUCGGCUUGUCGUUGGAUGCAUACCUUAUAGAUACAAGCUCUGCCUGAAUGAUUCGACUCAGGAUUACUCCAAGAAUGGGGGUUCGAGAAGCUACUGUUCCGAGACUAGCACAAGAAUCAAGAGAAACAAAAAGUACGCG